rnacentral:tRNA from 1 species
UGUACGUUCGCAGAUUAUUUAGGGUAAUCACACGGGCAACCACGUACAA